CCUACGGGUGGCAGCAGUGGGGAAUAUUGGGCAAUGGGCGCAAGCCUGACCCAGCAACGCCGCGUGAGUGAAGAAGUCUCUCGGUAUUUAAAGCUCUAUCAGCAGGGAAGAAAAUGACGGUACCUGACUACUACGCCCCGGCUCACUACGUGCCAGCCGCCGCGGUAUUACGUCGCGGGCGAGCGUUAUCCGGAUACACUGGGGGUAAAGGGAGCUUAAACGGCCAUGCAAGAUAGGGGGGAAAGACCGGGGCCCAACCCCGGGAUUGCCCUUGGAACUGAAGGGCUGGAGUGCGGGAGGGGCAGGCGGAAUUCCUGGUGUAGCGGUGAAAUGCGUAGAGAUCAGGAGGAACACCGGAGGCGAAGGCGGCAUGCUGGACCGCGACUGACGUUGAGGCUCGAAAGCGUGGGGAGCGAACAGGAUUAGAUACCCCUGUAGUC
rnacentral:rRNA from 1 species